CCUACGGGAGGCAGCAGUGAGGAAUAUUGGUCAAUGGACGCGAGUCUGAACCAGCCAAGUAGCGUGAAGGAUGACUGCCCUAUGGGUUGUAAACUUCUUUUAUAUGGGAAUAAAAUGUUCCACGUGUGGGUUUUUGUAUGUACUAUAUGAAUAAGGAUCGGCUAACUACGUGCCAGCAGCCGCGGUAAUACGGAGGAUCCGAGCGUUAUCCGGAUUUAUUGGGUUUAACGGGAGCGUAGGUGGAUUGUUAAGUCAGUUGUGAAAGUUUGCGGCUCAACCGUAAAAUUGCAGUUGAUACUGGCAGUCUUGAGUACAGUAGAGGUGGGCGGAAUUCGUGGUGUAGCGGUGAAAUGCUUAGAUAUCACGAAGAACUCCGAUUGCGAAGGCAGCUCACUGGACUGCAACUGACACUGAGGCUCGAAAGUGUGGGUAUCAAACAGGAUUAGAUACCCGUGUAGUC
rnacentral:rRNA from 1 species